GGGCGAGUGGCGGAACGGCAGACGCUGGGGACUUAAAAUCCCCUCGGGCGGUGCCCGGUGUGGGUUCGACUCCCACCUCGCCCACCA
rnacentral:tRNA from 1 species